rnacentral:rRNA from 1 species
AUGAACGCUGGCGGCGUGCUUAACACAUGCAAGUCGAACGGAAAGGCUCCUGCUUGCAGGGGCACUCGAGUGGCGAACGGGCGAGUAACACGUGGGUGAUCUGCCCUGCACUUCGGGAUAAGCCUGGGAAACUGGGUCUAAUACCGGAUAGGACCAUCGUUUAGUGUCGGUGGUGGAAAGUUUUUUCGGUGUGGGAUGAGCUCGCGGCCUAUCAGCUUGUUGGUGGGGUAAUGGCCUACCAAGGCGUCGACGGGUAGCCGGCCUGAGAGGGUGUACGGCCACAUUGGGACUGAGAUACGGCCCAGACUCCUACGGGAGGCAGCAGUGGGGAAUAUUGCACAAUGGGCGCAAGCCUGAUGCAGCGACGCCGCGUGGGGGAUGACGGCCUUCGGGUUGUAAACUCCUUUCGCCAGGGACGAAGCGAAAGUGACGGUACCUGGAUAAGAAGCACCGGCUAACUACGUG